AGGACUUGGACAAGAAAAUGCUGAUCACAAAAAGAAGUGUUAUCUCAAACAUCCUUACACACGUGGUUGUGAAGAAAAAUGGGACAAAGUUUAGAAGCAGGGUAGUAGUAUCUCAAAAGAGAGAAUUGGGUGAGAAAUCAAGGACCAAGCAGGAACCCAUUUUUUCAUUGAGAGUUUCAAACACAAUUCUUGCUCAGUCUGCAAUUACAGUGCUUGGAUUGGGGUUCAUCGAUGCCGGGAUUGGGAGGUAAUAUGGAGUACCAUAUCAUCAUUGAUCUUCUUGCUUUCAAAGUCAUCACAGGCUACAAAAUAGAGAAGAGAAUGGUGUGAUGAAUCUGAUUCCAGUAUCGUGGAAGAUACUAUGGGAUGUGUGGAAAGUUCAGAUGCUGGUUCUACUUAGUUUCACUUUACAAAUCAUUCUUUUCGUCUUUGGCAAACGCAGAAAGAAUAUAUUGUCACAAUGGAUUAAUGUGAUUGUCUGGUUGGCCUACACAAUGGCCGAUUGGGUGGCAACUGUCGCCCUUGGCAAGCUCUCUCAUACCCUAAAUAAUAUUCCUAAUCCCAAUAAUACAUUACAGGCAUUAUGGGCACCCUUCCUUUUAUUGCAUCUUGGUGGCCCAGAUACCAUAACUGCUUAUUCUUUGAAUGAUAAUCAAUUAUGGAUAAGGCAUUUUUUGGGCAUGAGUGUUCAAGUUACUGUGGCAAUUUAUGUCAUUGUUAUGUCUUGGAGGCAUUUCUGGUUUUCAUUUAUGUUAAUUCCGGCAUUCGUGGCUAGAAUUAUUAAGUACGGGGAGAGGACAUGGGCUCUUAAGUUAGCAUGCCAUGAUGAAUCAAAAAACAUUGUACCCUUUUAUGAUCUAAGAGGCCCACAUGGUCUAGCUCGCUUCAUCGGAAAAAGGACAUGUGAAAAUGAUUUAAUAAUGGCCCACAAUCUAGUGAUGGAAUUUAAAGAUUAUAGAGAGAAUUAUGACAUUCGUAGAUCUAGUUUCAAACUACGGUAUGGACUGUUCAUCUGCCUAGCUCUUUUGUUACUCUUCUCUAUUCAGAUGUAACCCAGUUUGGUGAUUAAUAUACUCCCCUUUUCUGAUCCAAAAAAAAAAAACUACGGUAUGCAAAACUAAAUCCAGAUGCAAUAAAUCUGGAUGAUUAUAUAGAAUGUGAGAAUGUAUUGGAGGUUGAAAUGGGGCUCAUGUACGAUUUGUUAUACACAAAAGCACCCAUAACAUUUACCAAGAGAGGGUGCAUUUUUCGCUCUAUCAACUUCAUGUGUACAGUGUCUGUGUUGGUAGGACUCUUCUGGCUUAUCGCCAAGUGGCACAAGCAGCACUACUCCAUGGUUGAUAUUGUCAUCACAGGGGCACUAUUGGUCGGAGCUCUAGCUUUGGAGAUUUAUGCAGUCAUUUUGUUAUUAUUCUCUGAUCGGGCAAUGCUUUGGCUAAUUAAGCGCGGCAAAGGCAAAUGGGAAAAUCAAUUGUGGCAAAAAUUUCCUUGGUUUUUUGGAAAGAAUAAGUGGUCUAAAAAGAUAGGGCAAAUUGAUCUAUUGAAAAAGGAAAACAAUCAUAAAAAAUGGAAUGGAAUAAUUGGGAGGUUGGGGAUUCAAGACAAGUUCUAUAGGUACAUGCAUACGACUAGUGUGUGUAUCCCUCCGAAGCUAUGUCCCAUGAUUGUUCAAUUUAUUUAUAGAGCCACAGCUACAGACAACCUUAUUGACUUUGGGUGGCUUAAGGGGUUUAUUGGCUCUACACCUUUUCAUGAGCUAAUUUUUUUUAUGCACAUCAUAACAGAUAUAUGUUGCCAUUAUGAUGAUGCAUACACUUCCUAUUAGGUUAAAUGUGACCACAUCAUAAUAUGGUGUGCCUCUCCAUACUUGAUCAUUUCCAAUUGGCUAGUGUAUUCCUUCCCGCAAGGAAAUGGAACAAUCUGGUAAGUUAAGAAUUUGAAUUUGAACACAAUGGGCACAUUGUUUCAUGACAAUUGUGGUUGUAAGUUUGUGUACCCAAAGGUUGUGACCUUUGGCAUGGUUGCCAUUGUGUUUAUAAAAGCAAUGGCAGGAUGUGUUUUUCAUAUACAAGUUUUAGAACCAUUGAAUAACCUUUGCUUUCGGAUUAUUGAUUCCAUCUUGCAUGAUAAAUACCCUCACGGGAAUUCCAAUCAUUUAGCCAUUGUAAAGUAUAUCUUUUAGUGGUAUCAAAGCCUGUUUACACAUUAUCGCAGAUGUCGAAAUAUAGUCUAGAAGAACAAAAAUUUUCCAAACUCUUUUUACCAAAAAUUCAGAAAAUCAUUGAUUGUCAAUCUUCGGCAUUGGUUAUUUCGGUUUGUUUAUAUAAUCAUCAUCAACGUAUUGUAUUUCCAAACAACUAUCCGAAGAAAAUAACUGUUGGUGGUGCUAUUGUUUCAAACCUUGCCGAAAGUGAGUCCGAAUUACACCGUUGGAAACAAUUUUACAAAAUAUUUUUCGCUUCAAAUUGCAUCUCCAAAUUGGCACCAUCUUGUUCUUCUCAAAAUUUUGAUCAUGAAAAACGGAGAAAAUUUGAUCCAGAAGAUCCAACUUACAGUGUUUGGUCUCAUACCCCCACCGAAGAAGACGAUCGGAAAAUUCAGUGCCAAGAAGAAGACUUUGUUUUGCAAACUAAAAGGCUUGGGCUGAAUUCAAAAUUAAAAAGAGGGCCCAAAAUAAAGUUUACUGCAAGGAAAUCAAUUCCUUUGGACCUAAAAAUUAAAAAUACAUUUUUUGGGCCAAUUCAGAAAUCGACCCAAGUCUGCCAGGCGGAGCCCAACAACCCAAAGCCUCAAGGACCACCCAGCCCAGCGACUCAGCCCAGUAGCCCAAAGCCGCGGCCCAGCGUCUCGCGCCCAGAUCCGCGCGUCGACCAAGCGCCCAGCACACCGCGCCCAGACUUGCGUCCGUCUGCUCCGCACGACCCGCGUACUAACCCGCGCACUGAUCCGCACGUUGACCCGUGCGUUGACCAGCGGUUCAAGACGGUUCAAGCUGGUUCAGCCAAAACAUUGAACCGACAGAUUGGUUCAAGGGGUUUUUCAGCUCGUUCUCGCUUAUUUCAAGGCCGUUUUUAGUCAUUCAAAAGCCAAAAUUUCCAGAAUUUUUCUAAGAAUUUUUCUGUGGGUACUUGUUCUACAUUUUCAAAACAAAAAAUUCAAGAAGAAGGCUAUCCAAGGGUGUUACCAAGGAAAACAUCCAUAGAAACAUUGUUUCAAAGGCACCAUUGUGUUCCUUGGGCUCGUAACUAUUAUUACAAUACUCAUAAGCAAAGUGUUGGGUUUAAAA